CUCUGUGAUAACUCCAGCUUGUGUCAAGUUGACACACAAGACCAGCCAGUACAGACAGUCCAUCAAUCCAUGCCCUUGGACUUCCUGGAUCUAGCCAUGCAUGAGUUUAGUCACACGAACCGCUGUGGCUUCCGGGUAUGAAGUCCUCCUCUGAUCAGAAGAGCCUGCAUGGCAGGAAUCAACACUCACUCCAUAAAGGGCAGCCUCCAAACAGCGCUGCCAAGAGCCAGGUAUGAGUGACACAGACCUGUCACAUCCAGAAGCCUGACUUUGAGGCCUUCAAGGCAUGGUGUGCCCCAUCUCUUGGGUUGCCAAUGGGAGAAUUCGGUGGCCCGUAUUCUCCCAAGCUUUCUUCAUCCCUCUUUCCCCUUGCCUUCCAUUCCCCUGAGGCUAUUUCCCUGACCAGUACUUUUGAUAGUAUGGCUGUGUUCCAGGGGCUGGUCCUGCUUCCUCCUGGCAUAGCAUCCGAGUGAUAAACCAUCACAUGCUAUCUUUUAGGGAUUCCAGGCGCCCAGCUGUUCUCCUUGGGCCCUGUCUCUGGCAAAGGGAGGACUCAGACUCCUCGUCGGAAUGUGCAGAGCCUUGAGCAUGAUUCGCACAGCCCAAGGAGUAUGUAGAUAGAAGAGACAGGGAGAACCAAGAGGCUGAUAGUUCCAGGGGUUUAGUCUUUAGAAUGAGUAUCAGUGUAGGUGGUCCCGGUGGGGGUCAGCAUGUGGCUGGACAGACACCAUCACCGUAAAGGAGGAGGAACCUCACAGAGGAACAUAUUAGCAAAUAGAACAGAGGGGCAAGUGUUUUUGCAUAGAGAGGGGAACAGAGCCAACAGGAAUUGUCAGAAAAUGAGACCCAGGGAGAGAGUCUCCUCUAGAAAAUCAGCAGUAUAAAGACAAGCGCAGGAUCCAGAUGUCAGUUCAGGCUCAGCAUACAGCUGUGAGUGUCCUUUAAAAGCCUAGGCAGCAGUGGGCUUUAAAGUAAACCGGAUUUCCUCCUCCUAGGGCGGGGUCUGUGACAAAUGAGCAGUGGCAGCAGAGAGCCACCAGGUGGCAGUGUGUGCUUGAGUGUGGCCGGUGCUGGACAGCAAGCCUACAUUUUGCCAGCAGGGAAAUGGGAUUUCCAGAAGGAACCUGUGGGUCCCUGUCUCAUAAUACCCCAACACCCCCAUCUGCCUCACCUUGUUCAGGCUCAUGCCCCAAUUUUAGGGUGUGAUUUUGGGGUUCUCUAUGCUAGCUGAAGGAAAACAUAUCCGAGAAAGACAGUCUCUGUGUAAAAGGGGUGACCAGGCAAAGCCUCCCUCUGAAGGGCAAUAGGAAAGACGAGUGUUUCUGCAGAAGGGAGCAAGGAGCUUGUUCCUAUCUAUUUUCCUCGGAAGGAGAAGGCCUUUGGAGGACUGAAGGCCAAAGGUAGUACCUUGUGUAUGUGGAGUCAAGAUCUGAAAUUGGUGGCUCAUCCUAUCUUGCUUGCAUCAGACAGGUCUCAGAAGUGGCACCAUGUUUCAUGAGAAGGGGGAUGGGAGAUGGCUUAGAAGGUAAAGUGCCUGCCAUGCAAGCAGGGCGAUCUGAGUUCAGAUCCCCAGUAAGACAUAAAAGUCCAGGUGCAUGGGCUGGGAGGUGGACACAGGAGGUUUGGAGGACUUGGGUGGCCAGCCAGUCUAAUAGGGGUCUCCAGGAACUAGGGGCGCAGAGACAGGAGGAUUGCCAGCUGGACUACAGAGCAACAUCUUGUUUCAAAAACCCAAAUACAAGCAGAGAAACAAAAAGGAAAUCCUGAGAUUGUGCAGACACACCCCUCCCUGCAAGAGCGCCACCUGGUGCAAAGUUGAGGAACAGCCAGCUGGGCGUGUCAAAGGUCAGAGGCAGACUCAGACAGCUUGUUCAGAGCUUUCUCUGAAUUUGCAGGACCAGGAACCCCCAGGGCGCCCAUACACUCACUCCUCGAAGGCAUUACUUCUUUCUAUAUCUUUGUUGAUAAUGAGCAUUUAUUUUGAGUACAGAAAAGAUACAUUGUUGCUUAUUCAGCCUCAUCUAGGAAGGAGAAAAGCUGUUUUGUAGAUCCCUCCAACAUGUUGAGUAGGCAGGGAUGUUUUUCGUCCCCUGCCACUUUCCAGAGCUCUAGAAACAGGCUGCGUUUCUUAAGAGUCUCAUCUCUGGGGUGCAUUUUAAAGGCUGUACAGUACAACAGACAGACAUUUUUUUGCCUAGAAAGCAGAACACCACAAAGGUGGGCAGAAGUGCUUGUAAACAAGGUUCCCUACCCCCAGGCCUGUGAAUCCAGGGUGCUGCUCGCAAGAUGCUACAGAACCUGUGGGCUGGGGCCCUUUCAGCUCUACAUCAGAAUAAAUGCUAUUUCUAUAUAAAAUAAAAAUCAAAAUAGCCAUCCUUGCCACCCCUCUGCUUAGGAAAGGGAUUGCUGAAUUUUCUUAGCCCUUCAUUGGAGGAAUUGAAUGUGGGAAGGGGAUCGGUAGGGAUAUGUCUGCUGCUUUGGGAUGACUGACAGAGGUGGGAGUCGGGGAGGCAGGAGGUCAGCGGCACUGCUGACAGAAUACUCCUCAAAGGUGCUUAGCUUUGGCAAGCUGGGUCUUCAAAGAUCACCUUGUCACCUUGUCUUUGACGGAGACUGCUGGAGCUCACAGGCUAAUAUCUGAGCCUUUCUCCAACUGGUUGUCUCCACACACCUGCUUCCACGAUGGGAUGUUGGCAGGAGACACUGGUCUUCUCAUAGUGACAUGGAGUUUUUUGUGGGGUACAUUUGUGGUUUUUUGUUUGUUUGUUUUGUCUCUGCAUAUGUCCCAGAGAGGCAAGGCCAGAAC
rnacentral:sRNA from 1 species